rnacentral:rRNA from 1 species
UACAGAGGGGGCAAGCGUUGUUCGGAAUUACUGGGCGUAAAGGGCGCGUAGGUGGCCUGUUAAGUCGAACGUGAAAUCCCCGGGCUCAACCCGGGAACUGCGUCCGAGACUGGCAGGCUCGAAUCCGGGAGAGGGAUGUGGAAUUCCAGGUGUAGCGGUGAAAUGCGCAGAUAUCGGGAAGAACACCCGUGGCGAAGGCGGUUCUCUGGGACGGUACUGACGCUGAGACGCGAAAGCGUGGGGAGCGAACAGG